rnacentral:rRNA from 1 species
GUAGUCUGCAACCCGACUACAUGAAGCCGGAAUCGCUAGUAAUCGCGGAUCAGAAUGCCGCGGUGAAUACGUUCCCGGGUCUUGUACACACCGCCCGUCACACCAUGGGAGUUGGAAAUGCCCGAAGUCAGUGGCCCAACCGGAAGGGGGGAGCUGCCGAAGGCAGGUUCGAUGACUGGGGUGAAGUCGUAACAAGGUAUC